rnacentral:lncRNA from 1 species
AUUUAGAUCCUAGUAUAGGAUUAAUUAGUAUUAAUUAAUGAGAUUAAUUAAUAAUUCCGUUGUAAAAUAGUAAUUUUGAAAAAGUUUUAAAAUUAUCAUUUUGCCCCUGCACUGAAUUUUCGCUUCACUUGCAACGGCCCUUAUGCACCCCCACAGCCAUGAUAGGAAUAGGAGGAGAACCUCAUCCUAACAUGUGCAAGGUCGAAGGUCCGAUUAUUUAAAGAUCGGAUGGGGGGAGAGGC